AAAUACUAUCUAAAUAUAUACCUUUAAUAAAAGGGGAAAUUACAUGUUUACCACUUUUAUGCUACCACUUUUCAUUUUUACCACCACUAAAGGGAUAUUUUCAAAAAUACAUUCUUCAAUAAGUGGCAAAAGACUCUUAUGCUCUUGUUCUUUAUAGAUAUAAUAAAUAAAUAUUUAUAUAAAUAAAAACCUAAAAAUAUUAAAAAUAUUUUUUUUAAUUUUUUUCCGAAUUAUACUAUUUCGAAAUCAAAACCCUAAACCCUAAAACUCAACUUUAAACCCUAAACCAUCAAUCCUAAACCUCUUUUUUGAAAUACGAACCCUAAACCCUAAACCAUCAAUCCUAAACCUUAUUUUUUUUGAAAUACGAACCCUAAACCCUGAAACAUCAACUCUAAACCCUAAACCUCAAAACCUCAACUCUAAACCUUAAACCCUAAACCUUCCUAAACCCUAAAGCAUCAACUCUAAACCCUAAACCCUAAACUUCGACUCUAAACCCUAAACCAUCAACACUGAACCCUAAACUGUCAAAAC
rnacentral:lncRNA from 1 species